GAGGAAUACGAAAAUGAAUAAGAUACAUCCCCUGCUCCAAAGGAGUUUGUACUUUAUCAGAAGAAAUAGGAAUUGAUAUAUCUAGUAAUAGUACCAGUAAGAAAAAGAGAAGGGGCAGAGUUAGGCACAAAAUUUGAAAGUUCAGUGGAGAGGGAUUUAUGUUUAUCUAUAAAGUGGUUUCCAAAAAGUUUUCACUUUUUUUUAUCUCCUUUGAUCCUCAUAACUGUCCUAUAAAGUAUAUAAUGAGGCAGCUAGGUGGCACAGCAGAUAAAGUGCCAGACCUGGAGUCAGGAAGACAAGACCUCAGACACUUACUGUGUGUGACCCUAGUUAAGUCACUUAACCUGUUUAUUUCAAUUUCCUUAUCUGUAAAAUGAGCUGGAGAAGGAAAUAGAAAACCAUUCUAGUAUCUUUUCCAAGAAAAAAACUUUUUAAAAAGGGGUCACAAGGAGUGAUACAUGCCUAAAAAUAACUGAACAACAAUACUAUAUUAUGGUCAUUUUAAAUUCACACACAUAAACUUAUAUUUCAAUCUAUUAGACAUACACAAGCUCCACAAAUGUCUUUAGUAAUUCUAGUUAUCAAAUCAGUAUCUCUCUCCCACACAGGGUAACAAAUAUCUUCUAUCUUCCCUUAAGAGAAUGGAAGUAAGAUUGGACUGAAAUGGUCACGAUGUCAAUGCUUGCCAAAAGACAGAAACCUUUGUUUAAAGGACUGAUGAAGGGUUGCUUUUCUGUGUAAUAACAAAAUGGCCAGGACAGGACUAUUUCUGAGGCCAUCAUAAACUGCUGGUGGCACCACUCUGAUCCAUGGUUAGCUGGUACUCUGUGGUGUCAUAAUGACUUCAGGUUUCUAAUUGGAGAGAGAUGCUUGCAAAUAGUGUCAGGAUACGCAUCCAGCUUUUCCUUUAUUCCCAGGGCACAAAUCUUUGGGAAGAGACUGGCAUUAUUCUGGAUACUUUUUUUUUUCUAUUUUGCUUUAGCCCUGAUAUUUACUCAUCAGAGAUCAACCCUUCUUUGUAGAAGAAUGGUUACCAUAAUCACAAAAUAGAGGUGGAUAGGGGACCUUGAUCUUAGAAACCUCUGAAAUACAGUGUUUAUUGCUGUUCCUCAAGCUCUGACUGGAAAACCCUUCAGGAGUUGAAUGGGAAGUAAAAAGAGAAUUCUUCCAAAAGUUGUAGUCUAGUUCCCUGAAAAAGACCACCUUCCAAUGACUGAGUCAAGGUUACUAUGUUCAAAUCAUCAGAUUUCAUCAUUUUUGAAAAAAGACCAUCAGUUCAGAGUCAACCAAAUGCCCACUUUAAUCUAGCCAGAGCUAAGUCCCUUCCAGCUCAAAGGGUCACACUUGGGCCACAAUCUCAGGAAAACAGAAGAACAACUGAGCAGCUGCCUGAUCCUGGAAACCAGAAAAUGGCUGCACUAUUAGCCUAUCUUGACAAUGGGAAGAUGUUUAAACCACCCAUAUCCCAGAAGUACCAUUAUAUGGCCAUAGGUUUGCCUACAAUGUGUCAGGAGCACCAGCCUAAGGGAAUUUCUCUGCCUUUGCCAACCCAAAAAAGAAGGAUAACACCUUUACUCAGACUUAAUCACUGUGCUCAAACUCUAUUGAAACCUAUCACCUGGGCAGAAAAUUCCUUAGGCCAUAACCAGCCUCCAGGGUACCCAUCAGACUUGAACCUACAUCCCAUGCCUGCAUCAACAUCGAUCAAUAAAAAUAGGUUUGAGGUUCCAUUUUUUCCCCACUCCAAGGAUAGAACUAUAGCUAAACCACUGAUACUCCGUAAUUACAAAGCUGAAACUUUUAUGAGUCUCAAGCCCUGCGUUGGUACUACACCUCACCUGAGCAGCUCAAACAAGGACUAAAUAACAUCAUUGCCACAUCUGACCAUUGGUAAAGGGCCGGAUCUGUGAAAAACUCGCAUCUGAACUGCUCAGCCAAGGCUUUAGGUUUGAAUUUAUCACAGCCUCACCACUACCUCAGAGCCAGGGCUAUGUCUUCAUUACAAACCAAUCUCAAUGGCAAGGCCACAAUUCCAUGUUCUUCAAAGCCCCACCAAUUGAGUACCGCAGCAUCUACACUGUCCUUAAGAAGAAGAAUCACAAUUAUGCCAUCAUUAAGUCCUAAACUCCUAUCCAGGACAAAGCAAUGCCAUCACUAGGCAUUGAACCCUGGGCCAAGCCUCAGAUUAUUUAUCACGCCAUGGCCAAUGAACUUACUUUUAUGACCUGACCACAUGGCAAAGGAUCCACAGAGACUGUAUAAGUCUUAAGGGCAUAUUUGCAUCAUUACCAUCUCCUGACCCUCAUGAUGUACCUUCAUCAGACACCUCCCCCUGGGAUAAGGCUGAGGUUUCACCAGACCUCAGCCAUCAGAUUAUAUCAUCAGGUACUUCUCACUUGGUAGUUUCACCAAGCUCAAGCCACCAGGAUGAAGCUGUCCAAGUCCUCCACUGCCAGACUUAAACACUUGUUCACAAUUCUCCCAAACUUGGAUUUCCAGGCAGGUUUCCACCAGUUUGGAAUAUACCACCACCACCAUCUGUCCAUCAGGAGGAGGCUACUCUGAACACUACCUCAAUGGCAACAUCCCCAAAGGGCUUUAAAUCCAGGGUUGUAUCUGGAGGCCAGGACAACAGAGUCACAUUAUCACUGCAGGCCAGUUGCUGCCAUAUUUAAUCAGAAGGUCCCAUUUCCAUCCUGCUUAGACCAUCAGACCAGGUAUGGACUGGAUUCUAAUGCUCAGUGAAUACUUUCUCUAGUCUCCAGCAUUUUAUCAACAGAUCCAGUCUCCAAAACACUAGAUAAUAUCUCUAUUGGAGAAUAGAGGACUAAAGACCAAUAUGCUACCAUUUCCUGUGUGUGUCUGACUACUGAGAUUAUAGCAAUACCCAUGGAAGACCUGGAGCAUUGCAAAUCAACUACAUAGUGCCCUGUCUAAAGAAAUUCCUCUGCUACUAGGUCCUAGGCUGUGACUAUUUGAAUAAGCUUGCAUUGAACUUAAACCUUUUAGGUAAGGUGGCUCCUGAAUGCCAAACCAGAUUCAUUCUGUACAGAGAAGAAAGAGAAGUUUUGCAAUAUUUAAAUUCCACCAAACCAUAUGCCAUUGGUAAGAAAACUGUACCUAUUAGAACUGGCAAUAUCAAUAUUAGUUCCAUUACAUUCAAGAAAAUGUUUAAAGUGAUAUCUGCAAGGAGAGCCUCCUGCACUGGAUGAAGGAAUGUCUUUCUCAUUGACCUAGGUGUUGAGUGCCAAGUAGUUGUUUGGCCUUUAAGAUUUGUACCUUGUAGUUGAAUGACCUCUUUAGUUUGAAGCUCUAGGAUCCCAAAUGUCUGUACUCAAGGAAUGGUCUCCUUGAGUUCAAAGUAUUGGUCAAACCAAUACCUCUACCUAGAUCUGAGGAGGAGAUAAGAUAAAAGUCUCAGGUGCAAUUAAUUCAUUUUUAGCUUCUAGUAAUAACAUUCCAAUAUAUGCAUGCCCUAACACUAUUUGCCACCCUUUACAACUUCAUCCAGCUGGGAAUCAGAUUAGUUCCUGAAUCACCCAUUUACUGCCAGCUGCAUGCAGGGAUUGCUAGGAUUUUAUAAUUGGCAAUAUAACCAGCCAUGGUGGAGGAACAUAUAGCAGUCAACAGUCAUCCACAAGAAAAAGGCCUACAUUACUGCACCUUUGGAGAAGAGAGGAGACCUGAAAGGAUUUCCCUAAAUUCUGCUAAAGAAGCUUAAGAGUAAAUUGACUGACCCUGGUUAGCUUAAAUAUUUGUACUCAGUUUUUGUCUUGAAUUAUUCUUUCUAAUCAGACAGGGAAACAUUGACCCUAACUUUUCUUUGGUGUUCAUGAGUAGUUAGUUAUGAACCCUGCUAGGCUUGUAGUGAAGAGUCACCAUGUUAGGGUCAGCUAGGUAGCUCAGCCGAUAAAAGAAAUAGGCCUGGAGAUGGAAGGUCUUAGAUUAAAAUUUAGCCUCAGACUUCCUAGCUGUGGGACCCUUGAAAAGUACUUAAUUCCAAUGACCUUGCCCUUAACACUCUUCAGCUUAACUGAUAUUUAGCAUCAGUUCUAAGAUGGAAGGUAAGGGUUUUAAACUUUUUAAAAAGUCUCCAUUUACACUUCUCCUCAGUUUCCCUCUCUGAUUCUUUUGCCAAAUUUUCAGCUAAUUACUAAAACUGGUACUUUGCCCAUAUGCCUUGCUAUCCCCAUAUCUCCUAAUUAUAUGGAUCUAUUUACCCAAAUCAGUGGAAAUGACUCAUGUUUCUAUAUUUCAGAUCAGAGCAUGUCAGCUCCCUACUUGAUAGUUUUCAGUGACUCCCUAUUACUUCCAGGAGAAAAAGUAUAAGAUCCCUUGACUUCCACAAUUUGGACUCCUCCUUACUUUUUCAGUCUUCCUACAUUUUAUUCCCCUGCUCGUAGCUCUGAUCUCAUUGCACCGGCUGACUUGCUCUUCUGAAAACACAAUUCCAUGCCUUUAAUGCUCUUUACUCAUUUCUGCCUCUUAUAUUUCUGGUUUCCUUCAAAACUCAGAUCAUUGCUAACAUCUACCAGAAGACCUUUCCUAUUUCUUGCCUGUGUGGAAUAAAAAUUAGUAAUUAGUAGUGCAUUAUUCACAAUUAUGGUUAGCAUUAGGAUUAAUAGUGGUGGUGAUAAUUUCUGUUCAAUUAUGCCUAUAACUCUCCUAUAUAGAUCAGUUCAGCUAGGCCCUUCAGGGAAGAGAGAAAAGAAGCCUCUCUCUACAUAACAAAUAGUAGAGAUGUCCUCUCCCUGAAGUGAAUAGACCCUUCCCCCAUCUGAGACCCUUCUGAUUAUUAGUACUUUAAAAGUGGCCAGACAAACCAUUUUCUUUUUCUUUC